ACAUCGCCUCUUGAUCAAUUAUAAGAGGUCAAGCCUGCCCAGUGACAUUGUUCAACGGCCGCGGUAUCCUAACCGUGCGAAGGUAGCGUAAUCACUUGUCCUUUAAAUAAGGACUAGUAUGAACGGCUUCACGAAGGCUAUACUGUCUCCUUAAUCUAAUCAAUUAAACUAAUCUCCCCGUGAAGAAGCGGGGAUUCAUCUAUAAGACGAGAAGACCCUAUGGAGCUUUAAACAUCUAAGACACUUGAUUUUUACCUACUAAACUUCAUGCAACCUAUCCUUUUGUCUUAAGUUUUAGGUUGGGGUGACCACGGAGAAAAAUUAAACCUCCACGUAGAAAGAAAAUUCUUUUCUAAGCAAAAAGCCACAUCUUAACGCAUCAAUAUA
rnacentral:rRNA from 1 species